GGCGAUGUAGUGUAAUGGUAACACAUUAGACUCAUGAUCUAAUAAUUUUGGUUCGAUUCCUGACAUCGCUU
rnacentral:tRNA from 1 species